rnacentral:rRNA from 1 species
CCAACAUUUCCUUGGAAGUAAAAGUCGUAACAAGGUUUCCGCUGAGGUGCACCUGCGGAAGGAUCAUUAUUGAAAUUAUAUUAAAUGAGGAGUUGAGUUGUUGCUGGCCUUUCUACCUUAAUUUGGCGGGAGGCAUGUGCACACCCUUCUCUUUCAUCCAUUCACACCCCUGUGCACUUGUGAGACAGCAAUGGUGGUGGAUUUAAUUCCACCCAUUUGCUGUCUACUUAAUCUACACACACUCUAUUUAAUUUAAACUGAAUGUAAUUGAUGUAACGCAUCUAAUACUAAGUUUCAACAACGGAUCUCUUGGCUCUCGCAUCGAUGAAGAACGCAGCGAAAUGCGAUAAGUAAUGUGAACUGCAGAAUUCAGUGAAUCAUCGAAUCUUUGAACGCACCCUGCGCUCCUUGGUAUUCCCUGGAGCAUGCCUGUUUGAGUAUCAUGAAAUCUUCAAAGUAAACCUUUUGUUAAUUCAAUUGGUCUUUUUACUUUGGUUUUGGAGGAUAUUAUUGCAGCUUCACACCUGCUCCUCUUUGUGCAUUAGCUGGAUCUCAGUGUUAUGCUCGGUUCCACUCGGCGUGAUAAGUUAUCUAUCGCUGAGGACACCCGUAAAAAAGGUGGCCAAGGUAAAUGCAGAAGAACCGCUUCUAAUAGUCCAUUUACUUGGACAGUAUUAUAUUUUAUGAUAUGCAUCUCAAAUCAGGUACGACUACCGUCGAUCACACUGUAGCAUAUCAUUAAGCCGAAGGAAAAACGGACGGACAAUGUUUAGUAAUACAUUACCGUUAUAAGAACGAGAUGAAUUAGUCUUUAUUCGAUAUCAACUUGUCUAUCGUGUGU